UAGGUUGAGGUAUGCCACGUUACCAGCUCCACUCUACUUAACUUGACACUCGAAGAGUCUGAUGAUGAGAUAUCUACUAAGAAAGAAAAACACUGGCGGCUUGGGCCUGAGAACCUCAAUGAAACGGUUGCUUUUGAUUUUCUAGAGACUGAAUGAAUGAUUCAAAGAAAUGCCAAUAUAGGGCUGCCUUUUAUUGGCUUCUGCCUUCCUUUUAAUUUAUGUAAAUAUGUAACAUUCCUAAAAUAAAGCUAUCAAAUUCCAUCCAA